AGUGAACGCUGGCGGUAGGCCUAACACAUGCAAGUCGAACGGCAGCACAGUAAGAGCUUGCUCUUACGGGUGGCGAGUGGCGGACGGGUGAGGAAUACAUCGGAAUCUACUUUUUCGUGGGGGAUAACGUAGGGAAACUUACGCUAAUACCGCAUACGACCUACGGGUGAAAGCAGGGGAUCUUCGGACCUUGCGCGAUUGAAUGAGCCGAUGUCGGAUUAGCUAGUUGGCGGGGUAAAGGCCCACCAAGGCGACGAUCCGUAGCUGGUCUGAGAGGAUGAUCAGCCACAGUGGAACGGAGACACGGUCCGGACUCCAACGGGGGGCAGCAGUGGGAAAUAUUGGACAAGGGGGGCAAGCCUGAUCCAGCCAUACCGCGUGGGUAAGAAGGCCUUCGGGUUGUAAAGCCCUUUUGUUGGGAAAGAAAAGCAGCAGGUUAAUACCCCGCUGUUCUGACGGUACCCAAAGAAUAAGCACCGGCUAACUUCGU
rnacentral:rRNA from 1 species